CUACGGGGCGCUGCAGGUAGGAAUAAUCUACAAUGCGCGCAAGCGUGAUAGUUUGAAUCAAAGUGCGUUCCAAUUUGGAAUGCUUUUGCUAAGUCUAAAAAGCUUGGCGAAUAAGGACUGGGUAAGACGAGUGCCAGCCGCCGCGGUAAUACUCGCGGUCCAAGUCGCAGCCAUUUUUAUUGGGUCUAAAACAUCCGUAGCUUGCUUGUUAAGUUUCUUGUGAAAUUUUAUAUCUCAAAUAUGAAGCGUGCAAGAAAUACUGUCGAGCUAGAGACUGGAAGACGUAAGAAGUACGUUCGGAGUAGCGGUAAAAUGCUUUAAUCCUGGACGGACUCACAAUUGCGAAGGCAUCUUACGAGGACAGUUCUGACAGUAAGGGAUGAAGGCUAGGGGCGCAAAACGGAUUAGAUACCCUUGUAGUC
rnacentral:rRNA from 1 species